rnacentral:misc_RNA from 1 species
GAUGAAGAACGUAGCGAAAUGCGAUAAGUAAUGUGAAUUGCAGAAUUCAGUGAAUCAUCGAAUCUUUGAACGCACAUUGCGCCCGCCAGUAUUCUGGCGGGCAUGCCUGUUCGAGCGUCAUUUCAACCAUCAAGCCCCCGGCUUGUGUUGGGGACCUGCGGCUGCCGCAGGCCCUGAAAACCAGUGGCGGGCUCGCUAGUCACUCCGAGCGUAGUAAUACAUCUCGCUCAGGGCGUGCUGCGGGUUCCGGCCGUUAAAAAGCCUUAUUUACCCAAGGUUGACCUCGGAUCAGGUAGGAAGAACCGCUGAACUUAAGCAUAUCAAUAAGCGGAGGA